rnacentral:rRNA from 1 species
AUUGAACGCUGGCGGCAGGCCUAACACAUGCAAGUCGGACGGUAGCACAGAGAGCUUGCUCUCGGGUGACGAGUGGCGGACGGGUGAGUAAUGUCUGGGGAUCUGCCCGAUAGAGGGGGAUAACCACUGGAAACGGUGGCUAAUACCGCAUAACGUCGCAAGACCAAAGAGGGGGACCUUCGGGCCUCUCACUAUCGGAUGAACCCAGAUGGGAUUAGCUAGUAGGCGGGGUAACGGCCCACCUAGGCGACGAUCCCUAGCUGGUCUGAGAGGAUGCCCAGCCACACUGGAACUGAGACACGGUCCAGACUCCUACGGGAGGCAGCAGUGGGGAAGAUUGCGCAAUGGGCGCAAGCCUGAUGCAGCCAUGCCGCGUGUAUGAAGAAGGCCUUCGGGUUGUAAAGUACUUUCAGCGGGGAGGAAGGCGAUAAGGUUAAUAACCUUGUCGAUUGACGUUACCCGCAGAAGAAGCACCGGCUAACUCCGUGCCAGCCGCCGCUGUAA